ACUACAUGAAGCUGGAAUCGCUAGUAAUCGCGAAUCAGAAUGUCGCGGUGAAUACGUUCCCGGGUCUUGUACACACCGCCCGUCACACCAUGGGAGUCAGCAACGCCCGAAGCCGGUGACCCAACCGAAAGGAGGGAGCCGUCGAAGGUGGGGCCGAUAACUGGGGUGAAGUCGUAACAAGGUAAC
rnacentral:rRNA from 1 species